GGGCAUUGGAUUGAUGACUAGGUCCAGCUGAUUGGUAGUGGGUGGGUCAUUUUCAAAAUUUGAUAUUGUUUGGCUUGGUAAUUGACCUAGUUCUCUCCUCAUGGUAGACAGCUAACUGAUCUAUUUGUACUUCUAUCCUGAUGAUAGAUUGCUGUUGGAUCAUAAUCAAUCAUUGAAGUUGAUUAAAUCUAUCGUCGACUA
rnacentral:lncRNA from 1 species